CCUAACACAUGCAAGUCGAGCGAAGCCUUCGGGCUUAGUGGCGCACGGGUGCGUAACGCGUGGGAAUCUGCCCUUGGGUUCGGAAUAACAGUUAGAAAUGACUGCUAAUACCGGAUGAUGUCUUCGGACCAAAGAUUUAUCGCCCAAGGAUGAGCCCGCGUCGGAUUAGCUAGUUGGUGAGGUAAAGGCUCACCAAGGCGACGAUCCGUAGCUGGUCUGAGAGGAUGAUCAGCCACACUGGGACUGAGACACGGCCCAGACUCCUACGGGAGGCAGCAGUGGGGAAUAUUGGACAAUGGGCGAAAGCCUGGUCCAGCAAUGCCGCGUGAGUGAUGAAGGCCUUAGGGUUGUAAAGCUCUUUUACCCGGGAUGAUAAUGACAGUACCGGGAGAAUAAGCCCCGGCUAACUCCGUGCCAGCAGCCGGGGUAAUAAU
rnacentral:rRNA from 1 species